CUCAUUCAGCGAUUUACACACAACGCCAGUGUGGUAUGCUGGCAUCUAUUCACCUCUUUCGCAUAUAUGACGCCAAAUGGUGACAACGGUUUGUAUCCGCCACUUUUCUGUCAUUUCAAAUACUGGUUACUUUUACUUUUUUUAUCGCUUCAUAUCACGCUUCAAAACCAGAAUUAUUUUUGAAAUGCUCAAUUGUAUUUAUUUCUUAAGCUAACUUUACCGUGGUUUUAUACUUACAGCAUACAUUGACUGCUCUGUUACUCUUGUGUCCACGGGCUCCGUCGACUGUUAUACUGGCACAACCAAAACUGCACCAAGCUGUAACAUAGCAUGCGAGCAUUAUGAAGAUAGAAAAGGUGUUCCAGAAGCUUCAUAUGAGUGCCAAGAAAAUGGCAAGUGGAGCAAAUCUUUACCUUUCUGCGUCAUACCUGGAUCAGGUUUGGAACUCGUACCACCUGUUAAAAUGUCUUCUGGAAGAAAAAAACAUGGAUAGGGGCAUCUUACCAUGGAUCGGAAAUGAGAAGUCUUGGAUUGCUGUACGUUAGCUGGAAAAUGGAUUGGUGGUUCUUAAUGCACAUUAAAUUUUUCAUGCAUUUGUAACAUUUUUUAAAUGAAAAAUAAUUUCAUAAGCAUUAU